UCUUUUCAUGGUGUAAGAGAACAGACAGCAUGCAUUGCAAGAUCUGCCUUGUCUUGCUGCCACCCUGGACUGCCUCACAUGAGGCACACAUAGAAUCGAAUAGUGCAAAGCUCUCUUGAGUCAAGAAGACCUGGACUCAAAGUCGGCUUCCUCUGUGUACUUACCCUGGGCCACCCCUCUGAGCUCUGAUUUGCUCGUCUGUAAAUUUGAGAUAAUGUAUUAUUAUCCCAAAAGCUAUGUAUUACACCUUGCUGGGUUCUUUAUAGGUUGAGUAAAAUAUUGUAUGAGAUAGUGUCAACCACGUAAGAACCAUCCAAUAAAUAUUCAUUUCCUU